AACGAACGCUGGCGGCAUGCCUAACACAUGCAAGUCGAACGAGAUCUUCGGGUCUAGUGGCGCACGGGUGCGUAACGCGUGGGAAUCUGCCCUUUGGUUCGGAAUAACAGUUGGAAACGACUGCUAAUACCGGAUGAUGACGAAAGUCCAAAGAUUUAUCGCCAGAGGAUGAGCCCGCGUAGGAUUAGCUAGUUGGUGUGGUAAGGGCGCACCAAGGCGACGAUCCUUAGCUGGUCUGAGAGGAUGAUCAGCCACACUGGGACCGAGACACGGCCCAGACUCCUACGGGAGGCAGCAGUGGGGAAUAUUGGACAAUGGGCGAAAGCCUGAUCCAGCAAUGCCGCGUGAGUGAUGAAGGCCUUAGGGUUGUAAAGCUCUUUUACCCGGGAUGAUAAUGACAGUACCGGGAGAAUAAGCUCCGGCUAACUCCGUGCCAGCAGCCGCAGUAA
rnacentral:rRNA from 1 species